UGCCAACACUACAAUAUUUGGUGAAAUAAUUUCGUAUACUUUUGACUUCAUUUAAUUUCAACUUUCCUAAUAAUUUUUCUUGUUGAAAUUGACACUUAUGUUAUAAACAAGGAGACAUAUCUAAAUCCUUUUCGUCUAAAUCCUCUUAUAUUAAAAUUAAUAAAGUUACUCAUGUAGAAAAAAGUUACAACUGACUGAAGUACCCCAAAACAAAUGCUCUGUAAAUGCAAAAUGAACAUUUAAUUUUAGAUUUAGGAGCCUUUUUAAAACUUAAUGACAACAAAACAAACAACUGAAAAUUGGUGCAUUUUGGCGGAAGGCAGGUUUAGACAGAAUUAUGAAAAUGAAUAUCACCAGCUGGACGACACAAAUUCAUAUGUUGAACUG